rnacentral:rRNA from 1 species
UGAGGAAUAUUGGUCAAUGGACGCAAGUCUGAACCAGCCAUGCCGCGUGCAGGAAGACGGCUCUAUGAGUUGUAAACUGCUUUUGUACGAGGGUAAACGCAGAUACGUGUAUCUGUCUGAAAGUAUCGUACGAAUAAGGAUCGGCUAACUCCGUGCCAGCAGCCGCGGUAAUACGGAGGAUUCAAGCGUUAUCCGGAUUUAUUGGGUUUAAAGGGUGCGUAGGCGGUUUGAUAAGUUAGAGGUGAAAUAUUAGGGCUUAACCCUGAAACUGCCUCUAAUACUGUUGAACUAGAGAGUAGUUGCGGUAGGCGGAAUGUAUGGUGUAGCGGUGAAAUGCUUAGAUAUCAUACAGAACACCGAUUGCGAAGGCAGCUUACCAAACUAUAUCUGACGUUGAGGCACGAAAGCGUGGGGAGCAAACA